UACAGAGGUCUCGAGCGUUAGGCGGAAUCACUGGGCUUAAAGCGUGUGUAGGUGGAUCGUUAAGUACCUUGUGAAAUCCCACGGCUUAACCGUGGAACUGCUUGGUAUACUGGCGGUCUUGAGCCACUUAGGGGCUACCGGAACAAAUGGUGGAGCGGUGAAAUGCGUAGAUAUCAUUUGGAACGCCAAUGGUGAAAACAGGUAGCUGGGAGUGUGCUGACGCUGAGAAGCGAAAGCAUGGGGAGCGAACAGG
rnacentral:rRNA from 1 species